UACGUAGGUGGCGAGCGUUGUCCGGAAUUACUGGGUGUAAAGGGCGCGUAGGCGGGGAUGUAAGUCAGAUGUGAAAUACCAUGGCUCAACCGUGGGGCUGCAUCUGAAACUAUGUUUCUUGAGUGCUGGAGAGGAAAGCGGAAUUCCUAGUGUAGCGGUGAAAUGCGUAGAUAUUAGGAGGAACACCAGUGGCGAAGGCGGCUUUCUGGACAGUAACUGACGCUGAGGCGCGAAAGCGUGGGGAGCGAACAGGAUUAGAUACCCUGGUAGUCCACGCCGUAAACGAUGGAUACUAGGUGUAGGAGGUAUCGACCCCUUCUGUGCCGGAGUAAACACAAUAAGUAUCCCACCUGGGGAGUACGGCCGCAAGGUUGAA
rnacentral:rRNA from 1 species